UGGGGAAUAUUGCACAAUGGGCGCAAGCCUGAUGCAGCCAUGCCGCGUGUGUGAAGAAGGCCUUCGGGUUGUAAAGCACUUUCAGCGAGGAGGAAGGUGGUGAGCUUAAUACGCUCAUCAAUUGACGUUACUCGCAGAAGAAGCACCGGCUAACUCCGUGCCAGCAGCCGCGGUAAUACGGAGGGUGCAAGCGUUAAUCGGAAUUACUGGGCGUAAAGCGCACGCAGGCGGUUUGUUAAGUCAGAUGUGAAAUCCCCGGGCUCAACCUGGGAACUGCAUUUGAAACUGGCAAGCUAGAGUCUCGUAGAGGGGGGUAGAAUUCCAGGUGUAGCGGUGAAAUGCGUAGAGAUCUGGAGGAAUACCGGUGGCGAAGGCGGCCCCCUGGACGAAGACUGACGCUCAGGUGCGAAAGCGUGGGGAGCAAAACAGGAUUAGAUACCCUGGUAGUCACGCUGUAAACGAUGUCGAUUUUGGAGGUUGUGCCCUUGAGGCGUGGCUUCCGGAGCUAACGCGUUAAAUCGACCGCCUGGGGAGUACGGCC
rnacentral:rRNA from 1 species